UACGAAGGGGGCUAGCGUUGUUCGGAAUUACUGGGCGUAAAGGGCGCGUAGGCGGUACUUCAAGUCAGGCGUGAAAGCCCCGGGCUCAACCUGGGAACCGCGCUUGAGACUGGAGAACUAGAGUUCGGGAGAGGAUGGUGGAAUUCCCAGUGUAGAGGUGAAAUUCGUAGAUAUCAGGAGGAACACCGGUGGCGAAGGCGCCGCUCUGGGCCGAAACUGACGCUGAGGAGCGAAAGCGUGGGGAGCGAACAGG
rnacentral:rRNA from 1 species